UACGGGGGGAGCAAGCGUUGUUCGGAUUUACUGGGCGUAAAGGGCGCGUAGGCGGCACAACAAGUCACUUGUGAAAUCUCCGGGCUUAACCCGGAGCGGCCAAGUGAUACUGUCGUGCUAGAGUGCGGAAGGGGCUACUGGAAUUCUCGGUGUAGCGGUGAAAUGCGUAGAUAUCGAGAGGAACACCUGCGGCGAAGGCGGGUAGCUGGGCCGACACUGACGCUGAGGCGCGAAAGCCAGGGGAGCGAACGGG
rnacentral:rRNA from 1 species